AUGGAUCAACUGAGACUGGUAUUCGUUACAGGACCACUGAAGACACCGAGAAGAUCACACCCUUCAGUCCCUUCUCUCAUCACACUUUCUGAGAUAUCAGAAGCCGAAUGCGGAAAUGAUGAUGAAGAUUAUGAUGGUUCCUGCAAAGGGGAGCCUCAAUUCAUCGAAUCUAUGAUUUACCAGAGUUGUAAAUAAGAAGUCAGAGGGGGACGAACGUGCAGGGAGUAAUUAUUGCCUGAUGAGGAAAAGGAUCAGGAAGCCAGGAGGCUCUGACAGAUCAGGAAGCCACAACUUUUGUGGGGGGCUCUUCCACAUCUCAUGGAAUGGAUACAUCCUAUUAUGUAGCCAAUUCUUCUUCUGAGGAAUUCUGAAGAGGUAGCAGGUUGGGCAGCAGGAAAAUCAGGUGCAAUGUAUUUACCGGAAAUCUGGAUGAUCCAUUAGGAUCAAUGUCGUUCGCAGCAGUCUCAUGAGCCUCCUACCAAAGGGACGAAGUCCAACUGGAGGAGUUGAUAGAACACAAUACAGGCAGCGGAAACCCUGCCCGUCCAAACGGAUCAAUGAUUUACCAGAAGCAAACAUCUUACCACAAGAAUAAUAAAUGUAAUUUAGAUUUUAGUUAUAGUUUUGUAUAUAUGCUGCUCAUCAAUCUGGUUGUAUGUGAGUUGUGAUUGUUAUGUGUUACCAAUCAAUGAAUUAGGGUCAUGUUUACACAGCAUUUCCUAUUCCUAAGUAUCUUUUGUAUAUCCU